rnacentral:rRNA from 1 species
UGCAGUCGAGCGGUAGAGAGAAGCUUGCUUCUCUUGAGAGCGGCGGACGGGUGAGUAAUGCCUAGGAAUCUGCCUGGUAGUGGGGGAUAACGUUCGGAAACGGACGCUAAUACCGCAUACGUCCUACGGGAGAAAGCAGGGGACCUUCGGGCCUUGCGCUAUCAGAUGAGCCUAGGUCGGAUUAGCUAGUUGGUGGGGUAAUGGCUCACCAAGGCGACGAUCCGUAACUGGUCUGAGAGGAUGAUCAGUCACACUGGAACUGAGACACGGUCCAGACUCCUACGGGAGGCAGCAGUGGGGAAUAUUGGACAAUGGGCGAAAGCCUGAUCCAGCCAUGCCGCGUGUGUGAAGAAGGUCUUCGGAUUGUAAAGCACUUUAAGUUGGGAGGAAGGGUUGUAGAUUAAUACUCUGCAAUUUUGACGUUACCGACAGAAUAAGCACCGGCUAACUCUGUGCCAGCAGCCGCGGUAAUACAGAGGGUGCAAGCGUUAAUCGGAAUUACUGGGCGUAAAGCGCGCGUAGGUGGUUUGUUAAGUUGGAUGUGAAAUCCCCGGGCUCAACCUGGGAACUGCAUUCAAAACUGACUGACUAGAGUAUGGUAGAGGGUGGUGGAAUUUCCUGUGUAGCGGUGAAAUGCGUAGAUAUAGGAAGGAACACCAGUGGCGAAGGCGACCACCUGGACUAAUACUGACACUGAGGUGCGAAAGCGUGGGGAGCAAACAGGAUUAGAUACCCUGGUAGUCCACGCCGUAACGAUGUCAACUAGCCGUUGGAAGCCUUGAGCUUUUAGUGGCGCAGCUACGCAUUAAGUUGACCGCCUGGGGAGUACGGCCGCAAGGUUAAAACUCAAAUGAAUUGACGGGGGCCCGCACAAGCGGUGGAGCAUGUGGUUUAAUUCGAAGCAACGCGAGAACCUUACCAGCCUUGACAUCCAAUGAACUUUCUAGAGAUAGAUUGGUGCCUUCGGGACAUUGAGACAGUGCUGCAUGGCUGUCGUC